rnacentral:rRNA from 1 species
CAGUCGAGCGGUAACAGAGAGUAGCUUGCUUCUUUGCUGACGAGCGGCGGACGGGUGAGUAAUGCUUGGGAACAUGCCUUGAGGUGGGGGACAACAGUUGGAAACGACUGCUAAUACCGCAUAAUGUCUACGGACCAAAGGGGGCUUCGGCUCUCGCCUUUAGAUUGGCCCAAGUGGGAUUAGCUAGUUGGUGAGGUAAUGGCUCACCAAGGCGACGAUCCCUAGCUGGUUUGAGAGGAUGAUCAGCCACACUGGGACUGAGACACGGCCCAGACUCCUACGGGAGGCAGCAGUGGGGAAUAUUGCACAAUGGGCGCAAGCCUGAUGCAGCCAUGCCGCGUGUGUGAAGAAGGCCUUCGGGUUGUAAAGCACUUUCAGUCAGGAGGAAAGGUUGGUGGUUAAUACCUGCUAGGUGUGACGUUACUGACAGAAGAAGCACCGGCUAACUCCGUGCCAGCAGCCGCGGUAAUACGGAGGGUGCGAGCGUUAAUCGGAAUUACUGGGCGUAAAGCGUACGCAGGCGGUUUGUUAAGCGAGAUGUGAAAGCCCCGGGCUCAACCUGGGAACUGCAUUUCGAACUGGCAAACUAGAGUGUGAUAGAGGGUGGUAGAAUUUCAGGUGUAGCGGUGAAAUGCGUAGAGAUCUGAAGGAAUACCGAUGGCGAAGGCGGCCACCUGGGUCAACACUGACGCUCAUGUACGAAAGCGUGGGAGCAAACGGGAUUAGAUACCCCGGUAGUCCACGC